UACGUAGGGUGCAAGCGUUAAUCGGAAUUACUGGGCGUAAAGCGUGCGCAGGCGGUUUUGUAAGUUUGUUGUGAAAGCCCCGGGCUCAACCUGGGAAUUGCAUUUGUGACUGCACGGCUAGAGUGUGUCAGAGGGGGGUAGAAUUCCACGUGUAGCAGUGAAAUGCGUAGAGAUGUGGAGGAAUACCGAUGGCGAAGGCAGCCCCCUGGGAUAACACUGACGCUCAUGCACGAAAGCGUGGGGAGCAAACAGG
rnacentral:rRNA from 1 species